rnacentral:lncRNA from 1 species
ACACAUUUUGCAGAAGGUUGCUGCUAGUCACAAGGAGCAGUCAUCACCAUGAAGGAUUUCAGUGCUUUUCUAGAGAUGAGGAGAUGCAAUGCAAGAAUUAGGCUCAUAAAACCUUCUCCUGAAAGAAUCUAACCACAUGAAGACCUGUUACACCAGUUUUCCCAUAGCACUGAGUGCUUCACUCCUGAUCUCCACUCUGACCUCCUUUUAGGGGUGUUGAGGGUCAGCAGCUGCAGUGGCUCGGGAUUCAGUCUGUGCAGAGGCAGAUGACAUUGCAAAGCAAAUUUCAAGUAACCCAAGAGGAAUAAAGAUCAGAACAACCUAAAUGCCCAUUGACAAAUGAAUGCAUUAAGAAGAUGUGGCAUAUAUACACAGUGGAAUACUACUCAGGCAUAAAAAAGAAUGAAAUAAUGCCAUUUGCAGCAAGAUAGAUGCGACUAGAGAUGAUCAUACCAAGUGAGAACUCAUUUUGCCCUCAGAACAAUCAGGACCGGGGACGGUGUCACAAUCGCCCAUGCCUUGUGCAGCAGAGGAAACCGCGGUUGGAGGAGGAGCUACAAGUGCUCAGGGGACAUUGUUGGCAAGUGGUGAGGCCAGGCUUUGAAUCCAGGCUUCUGCUGUUCUCCAGGCCCCAUUUCUCUCCUGAGUGGAAGCUGUGAUUCCCACAUUUGGUCUAGAUCUUGCCCAGGCAGCGCUGGAAUAGAAGCACCGGCCUAAGCCCUUGAACUGUCCUUGUGGGUCUCGGGCUUUCUCCACUCAAAGUACUUCAGUUGAUUAGGUUUCAGUUACUGAUUGGCAAUGGUUGCCAGCCCAGCUUCUCUGAGAUUACACACAGGUCAUGCCUUGGCGGGAAUGCUGGGAGUUCAUCAGUUCUCUUGGUUACAUGUUUUCAAGCCAUCUCCCAGUUUAUCUCCAUGGAGGCAAGGCCAACCCCAGGCAUGCCAUGCUGAGUCUCACCAGUGAACUUUCAGGGAGCAGCCCCAUUUGGGGCGAGGGCUCUCCAGAGUCUUUCCUUAUAUGACCUAGAGUUUGAUGGCUGAAUACUACAUCUGAUAGCUCUGGUAUGCCACUUAAUUAUCAUAUGCAUUUUAUUGCACACAUGGAUAUACUGUUUUCAUAGAAAUUAGCUUAAUUUCUAUAAAUUGACAUUGCCUCUUUUUUUUUUUUCUUUUCCUUUCUCAUCUAUUACCUACACCACAGGUCAUGGCAGUGCCAUAUCCUUAACCUACUGAACGAGGCCAGGGAUCAAACCUGCAUCCUCACAGACACUAUGUCAGGUUCUUAACCUGCUGAGCCACAAUAGGUAUUCUGAUGUGGCCUCACAUAAUUUACUUAAUAUUAUAUAAAAAUAAAGAAAAUCGUGCUAAAAAUAAUAACUGACACAUUUUGGAGAGCCAAAUAUGUGGCAUAUCUUCCAGUUGCAUAAGUUAAUACUAACUCAGCCAGCACUUCCAAGAAAUAAGUACGCUUUUUUCUACUUUUUCUUUCUUUGUUUUUUGUAAAUGAGAAACUGAAACUCUGAGAAGCUAUAGUCAAUAAGUGAUAAAACCUGGAUUAGAUCAUCCCAUUACACAAAAACAAUAUUACACAGAGAGAAAUUAAUUUUACAGUCAAAAAAUGAGGGUGCUGCCAGCAUAAGCAGGCACAAUGGUGUGUGUUCUAAGUUUAUCGAUUACAUGUACUGUUUCAUGAUAUUGUCACUAAAUGUCUACAAGGCAGAUUUUUCAAAGGAGAUGAAACUAUUUCUCCUCCUCCUCUUUCUCCUCCUUCCUCUGAGAUGAGAACUCUAGUCUCUGAAAACAAUGCCCAGACACUGAGGGGUUUAUUUGUAGGUUCCCAGAAGUGUUUCCACGGAUCUCAGAGCAACUCCAGGUGUGGUAGAAAUGACAAAGCCAGAGAGAGAGAAUGGAAGGAGUCCAGCAUCACCAGGGGCUUGUCAGCGCUAUCCACACCUGGUAAAGGGCUCCAGUACAUUCUGAGCACAAUGGCAUUGUAUUUCGUGUCCCCGUGUGCUCUGUGUUGACUGCGGUGAGUUCUGUGCUGAAGUCACCUAUUGUUUCAACCCUAAGUCAAGGAGGCCAGUUCUGAACUGAUUCCCUCAUGGUCUCUAUAAAAUCCUGAGUCCGUGUAGCAGCUUGGUCGCAUCGAUCAAAAUAGAAAAGUGGGAGUUCCCAUUGUGGCGCAGUGGUUAGAGAAUCCAACUGGGAACCAUGAGGUUGCGGGUUCGGUCCCUGCCCUUGCUCAGUGGGUUGACGAUCCGGCGUUGCCGUGAGCUGUGGUGUGGGUUGCAGACGUGGCUCGGAUCCCGCAUUGCUGUGGCUCUGGUGUAGGCCGGUGGCUACGGCUCUGACUCGACCCCUGGUGUAGGCCAGUGGCUACGGCUCUGACUCGACCCCUAACCUGGGAACCUCCAUGUGCCGCAGGGGCGGCCCAGGAAAUAGCAAAAAAAAAAAAAGACAAAAAAAAAA